rnacentral:tRNA from 1 species
GGAGGUGUCGCAUAGUGGCCUAGUGCGCCCGCCUGCUAAGCGGGUUGAGGUUGAAAACCUCUCGCGGGUUCAAAUCCCGCCACCUCCGCCA